rnacentral:rRNA from 1 species
GACGAACGCUGGCGGCGUGCCUAAUACAUGCAAGUCGAACGCAGGGGGGACGGGUGAGUAACACGUGGGUAACCUCCCAUCAGAGGGGAUAACACUUGGAAACAGGUGCUAAACCGAUACGGAUGGAGGAACCAGCGGGGCAUUAGCUAGUGGGGGAGGUAAAGGCUCACCAAGGCCACGAUGCAUAGCCGGCCUGAGAGGGUGAUCGGCCACACUGGGACUGAGACACGGCCCAGACUCCUACGGGAGGCAGCAGUAGGGAAUCUUCGGCAAUGGACGAAAGUCUGACCGAGCAACGCCGCGUGAGUGAAGAAGGUUUUCGGAUCGUAAAACUCUGUUGUUAGAGAAGCGGUAUCUAACCAGAAAGCCACGGCUAACUACGUGCCAGCAGCCGCGGUAAUUC